GACGAACGCUGGCGGCGUGCUUAACACAUGCAAGUCGAGCGAUGAAGUUUCUUCGGAAAUGGAUUAGCGGCGAACGGGUGAGGAACACGUGAAGAAUCUGCCCUCCACUUUGGGAUAACACCGGGAAACCGGUGCUAAUACCGAAUAUUGAAACAUAAGUGGCAUCACUGAGUUUUGAAAGAAUUUCGGUGGAGGAUGACUUCGCGGCCUAUCAGCUAGUUGGUGAGGUAAUGGCUCACCAAGGCAACGACGGGUAGCCGGCCUGAGAGGGCGACCGGCCACACUGGGACUGAGACACGGCCCAGACUCCUACGGGAGGCAGCAGUGGGGAAUAUUGGGCAAUGGAGGAAACUCUGACCCAGCGACGCCGCGUGCGGGAUGAAGGCCUUCGGGUUGUAAACCGCUUUCAGUAGGGAAGAAGCGAAAGUGACGGUACCUACAAAAGAAGCACCGGCUAACUAUGUGCCAGCAGCCGCGGUAAUACAUAGGGUGCAAGCGUUGUCCGGAAUUAUUGGGCGUAAAGAGCUCGUAGGUCGUUUGUUACGUCGGAUGUGAAAACCUGAGGCUCAACCUCAGGCCUGCAUUCGAUACGGGCAAACUAGAGUUUGGUAGGGGAGACUGGAAUUCCUGGUGUAGCGGUGGAAUGCGCAGAUAUCAGGAGGAACACCAAUGGCGAAGGCAGGU
rnacentral:rRNA from 1 species